rnacentral:rRNA from 1 species
AGCAUCAUCACCGACAAUGGCACGAAUUUUGCCAAAGGCGCCUUGGUCCGUUUCUGCGCGACACAGGGCAUCCGACUGGACUUAGCGUCCGUUGCCCAUCCGCAGGCAAACGGCCAGGUGGAGCGAGCCAAUGGCCUCAUCUUAUCCGGCAUCAAGCCUCGACUCGUCGCACCGCUGGAGCGAUCUGCUGGCUGUUGGCUUGAGGAGCUGCCAGUCGUCCUCUGGAGUCUGCGCAUGACUCCAAACAAGUCGACCGGCUUCACACCCUUCUUCCUCGUCUAUGGUGCCGAAGCCGUCAUCCCAACGGACAUAGAGUUCGACUCCCCGCGAGUCACCAUGUACACCGAGGAAGAAGCAGAAGAA